UUGGAGGGCAAGUCUGGUGCCAGCAGCCGCGGUAAUUCCAGCUCCAAUAGCGUAUAUUAAAGUUGUUGCAGUUAAAAAGCUCGUAGUUGAACCUUGGGCCUGGCUGGCAGGUCCGCCUCACCGCGUGUACUUGACCGGCCGGGCCUUUCCUUCUGGAGAACCUCAUGCCCUUCACUGGGUGUGCUGGGGAACCAGGACUUUUACUUUGAAAAAAUUAGAGUGUUCAAAGCAGGCCUUUGCUCGAAUACGUUAGCAUGGAAUAAUAGAAUAGGACGUGCGGUCCUAUUUUGUUGGUUUCUAGGACCGCCGUAAUGAUUAAUAGGGACAGUCGGGGGCAUCAGUAUUCAAUUGUCAGAGGUGAAAUUCUUGGAUUUAUUGAAGACUAACUACUGCGAAAGCAUUUGCCAAGGAUGUUUUCAUUAAUCAGUGAACGAAAGUUAGGGGAUCGAAGACGAUCAGAUACCGUCGUAGUCUUAACCGUAAACUAUGCCGACUAGGGAUCGGGCGAUGUUCUCAUUUUGACUCGCUCGGCGCCUUACGGGAAAC
rnacentral:rRNA from 1 species